rnacentral:misc_RNA from 1 species
GAAAUGCGAUAAGUAGUGUGAAUUGCAGAAUUCAGUGAAUCAUCGAAUCUUUGAACGCACAUUGCGCCCUAUGGUAUUCCGUAGGGCAUGCCUGUUCGAGCGUCAUUCAAACCUUCAAGCUCUGCUUGGUGUUGGGCGUCUGUCCUGCCUCACGGCGUGGACUCGCCUCAAAUGUAUUGGCGGCCGGCACGUUGGCUUCGAGUGCAGCAGAAACGCGAACUCGGUGCCCGACGGGUCAGCUCCCAGAAGCUAAACCCCAUGAAUUUGACCUCGGAUCAGGUAGGGAUACCCGCUGAACUUAAGC